rnacentral:rRNA from 1 species
CCUACGGGGGUCUGCAGUAGGGAAUAUUGCUCAAUGGGGGAAACCCUGAUGCAGCAACGCCGCGUGGAGGAUGAAGGUUUUCGGAUUGUAAACUCCUUUUGUUAGAGAAGAUAAUGACGGUAUCUAACGAAUAAGCACCGGCUAACUCCGUGCCAGCAGCCGCGGUAAUACGGAGGGUGCAAGCGUUACCCGGAAUCACUGGGCGUAAAGAGCGCGUAGGCGGGAUAGCAAGUCAGAUGUGAAAUCCUAGGGCUUAACCAUAGAACUGCAUUUGAAACUGUUAUUCUAGAGUAUGGGAGAGGUAGGUGGAAUUCUUGGUGUAGGGGUAAAAUCCGUAGAGAUCAAGAGGAAUACUCAUGGCGAAGGCGACCUGCUAGAACAUAACUGACGCUGAUGCGCGAAAGCGUGGGGAGCAAACAGGAUUAGAUACCCGAGUAGUC